rnacentral:sRNA from 1 species
GCUGCGGCAAUCACCGCUAAGGCGAGCGUUGCUGAAGCUUUCACGGACCUCACCUUCUUUCUGCUCGGAGAAAACGAUCCGCCUCGACAUGCUCGUUCGAGGCGGAUCCAUUGAA